GACAGAGGGUGCAAACGUUGCUCGGAAUCACUGGGCGUAAAGGGCGCGUAGGCGGGAAUGUAAGUCGGGCGUGAAAUCCCCCAGGCUCAACCUGGGAACUGCACUCGAAACUGCGUUUCUUGAGUAUCGGAGAGGAAAGCGGAAUUCCUGGUGUAGAGGUGAAAUUCGUAGAUAUCAGGAGGAACACCAGUGGCGAAGGCGGCUUUCUGGACGGUAAC
rnacentral:rRNA from 1 species